rnacentral:rRNA from 1 species
UACGUAGGGGGCAAGCGUUGUCCGGAUUCAUUGGGCGUAAAGAGCGUGUAGGCGGCCAGGUAGGUCGGUUGUGAAAACUGGAGGCUCAACCUUCAGAGGUCGACCGAAACCAUCUGGCUAGAGUCCGGGAGAGGAGAGUGGAAUUCCUGGUGUAGCGGUGAAAUGCGCAGAUAUCGGGAGGAACACCUGUGGCGAAGGCAGCAAACUGGUCAUCAACUGACGCUGAGGCGCGAAAGCGUGGGUAGCAAACAGG